ACGCACGCUGGCGGCGUGCUUCACACAUGCCAGUCGCACGGAAAGGCCCUGCUUUUGUGGGGUGCUCGAGUGGCGAACGGGUGAGUAACACGUGAGUAACCUGCCCUUGACUUUGGGAUAACUUCAGGAAACUGGGGCUAAUACCGGAUAGGAGCUCCUGCUGCAUGGUGGGGGUUGGAAAGUUUCGGCGGUUGGGGAUGGACUCGCGGCUUAUCAGCUUGUUGGUGGGGUAGUGGCUUACCAAGGCUUUGACGGGUAGCCGGCCUGAGAGGGUGACCGGCCACAUUGGGACUGAGAUACGGCCCAGACUCCUACGGGAGGCAGCAGUGGGAAAUAUUGCACAAUGGGCGGAAGCCUGAUGCAGCAACGCCGCGUGCGGGAUGACGGCCUUCGGGUUGUAAACCGCUUUCGCCUGUGACGAAGCGUGAGUGACGGUAAUGGGUAAAGAAGCACCGGCUAACUACGUG
rnacentral:rRNA from 1 species